rnacentral:rRNA from 1 species
AUGUUCGCGCUUCGCCGCCAGGCCGCUUCCACCUCCGCUCCACUCCUCCGCCGCCGCCUCCUUUACGCCCAGCCCAAUCCCAUGCCCCCUCCGCCAACUCCACGGACGCCGUCCAACGAUGGCGCGUGGGCCUGGGCCGAGCGCGCGGCCAAGCUCUCCCUGCUGGGGUUCACCGGCGCCGCCACCGCCUGCGCCGUCAGGGACACCUCCGUCUUCCUCGAUCGCACCAGGGUGGAGUAUGUUUCCAACAAGGUAAUGGAGAUGGCUGCUCAGAACCAGCAGGUAGCGAGCGCGAUCGGCGGGCCUAUGACGCCGGGGUUCUGGCACAGCAUUUCCAUUGCCUGGAAGUGGAACCUCGCCAGGCAUUACCUCUCCGGCACUCUCCAGGUAUCCGGGCCCCAAGGAGACGGCCUUCUUACCUUCCAGGCGGUUCGCUCUAGAGAUAAAUCUUGGUUCCGGUUUCUACGGUACAGCGACUGGGAGAUACCCAUAAUGGAUGCCAUCCUUGAUGUUCGUACUGAUGACGGGAAGCACCAAAGAAUUACGGUAAGGAUUCCAGACAACAUGACUGCUCCACCACCUCAAGAGAAGACACGUUAUUUCGUCAUUACUCAGAACAUGAUCGCUAUCAAGAGGUGA